GCUAAACUCUAAAGUUGCUAAGAGCACUAGCUACUCUGAUGCAGGCAGCCAUCACCAUUCGGUGACUAGCAUCGACUGGCUUAAGAUUUAGGUCUUGAAAUUUCUUGUUUGACGGCGGCGAAGAAAAGAAUCCCAGCGAAGAAAUUCAAGGAGCGAAACAGAACAUACUUCUCCUUCACAAGGCGUGAGUAAUAUUUAUUCAUAAUGAACAAGAUGAGAGGUUUUGCUUCGUCUACUCCUCUCUUAUCGACAUCAAGCAUAACCAAUCGUGGGAAAACAUUCUUCAACAAUAGGACUGUGGAGAGUACGGACUGUGUUCUUCAAAGAACGGAAGAUGGGAAAAUGCUAGUCACCGCACGAGUUACUUGUGGAUGUAGACAUGGCGCCCAAAUAACCGUAGGAUUGGGCAGUCACCCAAACAUCCCAUCCAUCUCGAAGACUUGGGGCUUAUGGAUGGUCGCCACAUCAACCCUCGCGAGCAACUCACAUGGUGUCUAGCAGCGUACACUUCACAAGCUUUCCUAGUUUUUAUGUGAAGUUUGAAGUCAAAGACAAGGACUUGGAAUCGCAAGAGAGUAUGAUGGAUUUAUAUGAAAGGUGGAUGACACAUUUUGGGAUUUUUAGAGUCGACCCCCUAGAAAAGUGGACACGCUUUGAGAUCUUUAAGGAGACGGUGAAAAAAAUCGCGCAGCUAACAUUUUUGCAGAUGGCCGACGAAGAGAGAGGUGUCGUUCGAUCACAGGAGACCACAGACACUUCUUUGAUUCGUGGAAGCAAUCAGCAUCAGGAAAAGUACGUGAAGAAUGACAUGUUUUUCUGUAUUAUCAGUUUUAAUAACAAAUUAUAAUAUAGUAGGGAAUUUUGAAUGAUCUCAGUAUUCAGUACUACUGGUGGAUAUUUUAAAACUCUAAUUUGUAUUCCUCUCAAGGCUAGGAUGGUUGCCAAUGCUAGAACUAAUAGCUUCAAAG